UCCGAGAUAGUAUAGUGGCCAGUAUUUCCGCCUGUCACGCGGAAGAACAGGGUUCGAUUCCCGGUCUCGGAG
rfam:Gregarina niphandrodes unplaced genomic scaffold scaffold00193, whole genome shotgun sequence.